CAGAGUUCCAAACAGUUGGCAGUAGCUGAGCUAGCAAUGAGAUUAGAGGAGAGGAAAGGCUGAUGCUUCAGCCUUGGUUAAGGCUAAGUUAGAAAAAACAAAAGGGAAGAGUCAAUUAAAAAAAAUGACAAAGUAAAAAGAAAAAAAUCCAGGAUAUUAUAGUGUGUUAGAAGGCAUGAGAGCAGAUAAUUUCAAGAAGUGAGGCAUUAGACACUGUCAAGGGCUGUAGCAACAUGAAGGCCUAGUGUCAACAGAACAAAGGAGAUGGGGGAAAAACUGACCAGGAAGAUAGCCAGCGUGGGAGUCUCAAGAAGAAAGACUUCUCCUGCUACUGGACAACAGGAGUUGGAAUUCCUUGCCCUAAAUAGAAGCCACCAGUUUUGGCCACUAUCAUCUGGAGCCAGGGCUCCAGCAGAGUAGAAGAUUUAUUUAAGGGCUGAUGAAGACAGAGACUGGGUCUGAGAGGUGAAAGUGUGGGAUGGGGUCUCGGAAGUUAGGAAUCGACAAAAGUCUCCUGCCAGGGUACACCUCAGUCCUCACUCCUUGGUCUAGCCUGUGCACCAUUAUUCUUUUCUUCCAACAGCCCUGGGAUUAUUUUGAUUCCCCUCCAAUUGCUACCACUUAUUGCUUCUACCAAGGUUUCACUCUUCCUCCUAGUCCACUGCAUCACAGAACAGCAGUCUUGGCUUUUCUCCUUUGUUCCCAGGUCUGCUGUGAAGACCAAGCCAGAACCCUAGAUAUGGCUACUGAGUAAAUGGCAUGAGGGAUGAAGAUGCUACCAAAGAGACCAGUACCCUGGGCCUGAGAGAACCCCACCAAUAACAGAUGGCUUACUCUCCCCUUCUCUUUUCAGUAUUCUUUUCUUUCUGCUUUAUGAUCCUGUCAUUCAUACAUAUGUAAUAUGUAAUCUCUAAAGCCAACAUUAAAAGUUUACCGUAUACCAAGCAGUAUGACAAAUAAUUGUUUAGUGUGAUU